GACGAACGCUGGCGGCGUGCCUAAUACAUGCAAGUAGAACGCACAGUUUAUACCGUAGCUUGCUACACCAUAGACUGUGAGUUGCGAACGGGUGAGUAACGCGUAGGUAACCUGCCUGGUAGCGGGGGAUAACUAUUGGAAACGAUAGCUAAUACCGCAUAAUAUUAAUUAUUGCAUGAUAAUUAAUUGAAAGGUGCAAUUGCACCACUACCAGAUGGUCCUGCGUUGUAUUAGCUAGUAGGUGAGGUAACGGCUCACCUAGGCGACGAUACAUAGCCGACCUGAGAGGGUGAUCGGCCACACUGGGACUGAGACACGGCCCAGACUCCUACGGGAGGCAGCAGUAGGGAAUCUUCGGCAAUGGACGAAAGUCUGACCGAGCAACGCCGCGUGAGUGAAGAAGGUUUUCGGAUCGUAAAGCUCUGUUGUAAGAGAAGAACGGGUGUGAGAGUGGAAAGUUCACACUGUGACGGUAUCUUACCAGAAAGGGACGGCUAACUACGUG
rnacentral:rRNA from 1 species